UACGUAGGGGGCAAGCGUUGUCCGGAAUCAUUGGGCGUAAAGCGCGUGUAGGCGGCUCGAUAAGUUCGCUCUGAAAGUCCAAGGCUCAACCUUGGGAUGCGGGUGAAUACUGUCGGGCUCGAGUCCGGAAGAGGCGAGUGGAAUUCCUGGUGUAGCGGUGAAAUGCGCAGAUAUCAGGAGGAACACCAAUUGCGAAGGCAGCUCGCUGGGACGUUACUGACGCUGAGACGCGAAAGCGUGGGGAGCAAACAGG
rnacentral:rRNA from 1 species